rnacentral:ncRNA from 1 species
CACCUUUUGGUGCAGUCGUCUCACCUCUUUCGUCGGCGAUGCGCUCAUGGUCUUAAUUGGUCGAGUCGUGCUUCCAUCACUGUUACUUUGAAGAAAUUAGAGUGCUCAAGGAAGCCUACGCUCUGUAUACAUUAGCAUGGGAUAACAUUAUAGGAUUAUAUUCCUAUUGUGUUGGCCUUCGGGAUCGGAUUAAUAAUUAACAAGGAUAGUCGGGAGCAUUCGUAUUUCAUAGUUAGAGGUGAAAUUCUUGGAUUUAUGAAAGACAAACAAAGCAUUUACCAAGGAUAUUUUCAUUAAUCAAGAACGAAAGUUGGGGGCUCGAAGACGAUCAGAUGCUGUCCUAGUCUCAACCAUAAACGAUGCCGACAAGGGAUGUUACUUUUAGGACGUCACAAACACCUUAUGAGAAAUCAAAUUUUUUGAGUUCCUGGGGAAGUAUGGUCGCAAUGCUGAAACUUAAAGGAAUUGGAGAAGGGCACCAUCAGGAGUGGAUCAUGCGGCUUAAUUUGACUCAACACAUGGAAACUUACCAGGUCCAGACAUGGUAAGGACUGACAGACUAAGAGCUCUUUCUUGAUUCUAUGGGUGGUGGUUGGUUCUCUUCCUUCGUAGCUCAAAAUCGAGAAGCCGAUCUUAUUUUUCCAUCGUCUUAUCUUUUGACUCCAUUUACGGAGGAUGAAAUUUAAAACACAUCUUUUAAAAUGAACUCACGUAAAUAGAGAUGGUUUUGGGCCGAAAUUCUAUCAAUCUCAUUGACCAAUUGUUGGUAAAAAAGUCAUCACAUCUGUUAUAAGUUUUUUUUUCUAUGGGAAAAUUA